AUUGAACGCUGGCGGCGUGCUUAACACAUGCAAGUCGUGCGGUAACAGGCGUAGCAAUACGUGCUGACGAGCGGCGAACGGGUGCGUAAUACAUGGGAAUCUGCCCUUUAGUGGGGAAUAACCCGGCGAAAGCCGGGCUAAUGCCGCAUAAGAUCUUCGGAUGAAAGCGGGGGAUCGUAAGACCUCGCGCUGAUGGAUGAGCCCAUGUCGGAUUAGCUAGUUGGUGAGGUAACGGCUCACCAAGGCGACGAUCCGUAGCUGGUCUGAGAGGACGGCCAGCCACACUGGGACUGAGACACGGCCCA
rnacentral:rRNA from 1 species